rnacentral:rRNA from 1 species
UACGUAGGGUGCGAGCGUUGUCCGGAAUUAUUGGGCGUAAAGGGCUCGUAGGCGGUUUGUCGCGUCGGGAGUGAAAACACCGGGCUUAACUCGGUGCUGGCUUUCGAUACGGGCAGACUAGAGGUAUGCAGGGGAGAACGGAAUUCCUGGUGUAGCGGUGAAAUGCGCAGAUAUCAGGAGGAACACCGGUGGCGAAGGCGGUUCUCUGGGCAUGUCCUGACGCUGAGGAGCGAAAGCGUGGGGAGCAAACAGG